GAAGGGAGUUCAGACGUACCGAGGUCACCAAGGAGAGGAAGGGAAGAGCUGUGGAUGGAAGGGCCUGGAGUAGCACGGCCUUUUAUACAGUGAGCCAGCGCCUCGGGAGACGUGGAACACGUGUGUGUUUGUGAAGCACGGUAACAAACAGCAAUUUGAGGUUUGCAGAGCACAGCCGUGAGAUGGAGAAUCAUCUCUUUCAUCUGAAAGGUCUGAUUUGCAUUUCCCCAUUGGGUGAGAGUGCAGCGGUGAUGCAUGCGAUGCUGCUCCUGUAAGCAACGGCCUUGGAGGUCCCAGCCAGCUUCCAGAAAGGGUUUCAGCAGCUCCAGGCCCUGUGUGAGGGUUGUGCACAUCCUUGCUGGGGAGCCUCCCCUGGGGCUCUGGGCUGCAGUAUAAAAGCGGCCCAACUGCCAGCUCCUCCAUCCUCUCCUCGUGCCUUCCUCUGCUCCGCGAAGUUGUGGCUGCUGUCUUCAGGAGCCUGUUGCGCUGUGCUCAGCCAUGUGCCCUCCUGAGAGCAGGGCGAGAGGAGCCCGACCUGGCAAGACCAGGGCGCUCAAGGGCAGGGCGUUCGGCUGUGUGAACAAAUGGGUGCUGGUAGAAGGGCUGAUGGCCAGGAAGUGCAGAGCCGAUUCCAAGGAGAGGGAUCCUCCUGAUCUGCCACAGAAAAUCUUUCCCUGUC